UACGGGGGGGGCAAGCGUUGUUCGGAAUUACUGGGCGUAAAGGGCUCGUAGGCGGCCAACUAAGUCAGACGUGAAAUCCCUCGGCUUAACCGGGGAACUGCGUCUGAUACUGGAUGGCUUGAGUUUGGGAGAGGGAUGCGGAAUUCCAGGUGUAGCGGUGAAAUGCGUAGAUAUCUGGAGGAACACCGGUGGCGAAGGCGGCAUCCUGGACCAACACUGACGCUGAUGAGCGAAAGCCAGGGGAGCAAAGCGGG
rnacentral:rRNA from 1 species